UACAGAGGGGGCAAGCGUUAUUCGGAAUUAUUGGGCGUAAAGGGCGCGUAGGCGGCUUUGCAAGUGGCGGGUGAAAUCCCUCGGCUUAACCGAGGAACUGCCUGUCAAACUGCAUGGCUUGAGACCAGGAGAGGUGAGUGGAAUUCCCAGUGUAGCGGUGAAAUGCGUAGGUAUUGGGAGGAACACCAGUGGCGAAGGCGGCUCACUGGACUGGUACUGACGCUGAUGCGCGAAAGCGUGGGGAGCAAACAGG
rnacentral:rRNA from 1 species